AUUGAACGCUGGCGGCAUGCCUUACACAUGCAAGUCGAACGGUAACAGGUCUUCGGAUGCUGACGAGUGGCGAACGGGUGAGUAAUACAUCGGAACGUGCCCAGUAGUGGGGGAUAACUGCUCGAAAGAGCAGCUAAUACCGCAUACGACCUGAGGGUGAAAGGGGGGGAUCGCAAGACCUCUCGCUAUUGGAGCGGCCGAUAUCAGAUUAGCUAGUUGGUGGGGUAAAGGCCUACCAAGGCAACGAUCUGUAGUUGGUCUGAGAGGACGACCAGCCACACUGGGGCUGAGACACGGCCCAGACUCCUACGGGAGGCAGCAGUGGGGAAUUUUGGACAAUGGGCGCAAGCCUGAUCCAGCAAUGCCGCGUGCAGGAAGAAGGCCUUCGGGUUGUAAACUGCUUUUGUCAGGGAAGAAAUCUUCUGGGCUAAUACCCCGGGAGGAUGACGGUACCUGAAGAAUAAGCACCGGCUAACUACGUGCCAGCCGCCGCCGUAA
rnacentral:rRNA from 1 species